rnacentral:rRNA from 1 species
UACGAAGGGGGCUAGCGUUGCUCGGAAUUACUGGGCGUAAAGCGCGCGUAGGCGGGUCGUUAAGUCGGGGGUGAAAUCCUGGAGCUCAACUCCAGAACUGCCUUCGAUACUGGCGAUCUUGAGUCCGGGAGAGGUGAGUGGAACUCCGAGUGUAGAGGUGAAAUUCGUAGAUAUUCGGAAGAACACCAGUGGCGAAGGCGGCUCACUGGCCCGGUACUGACGCUGAGGUGCGAAAAGCGUGGGGAGCCAAACAGGAGUUAGAAACCCCG